UUUAAAUUUUGCAAAUUUAUUUGGGCCAGUUGUUGGGAAGUUAAGAGACUGAAGUCAAGUCCUUAUGGCCCGUAUGUGUUGGGCUACACACGUGUUACAAUGGUAGAGACAGAAAGUAACUACAGCUAGUGCUUAAGUGAAUCUUUAAAAUCUACCUCAGUUCGGAUUGUUCCUUGAAAUUCAGGAGCAUGAAGCUGGAAUCGUUAGUAAUCGUAAAUAAGAACGUUACGGUGAAUGUUCUAUCAAAUUUUGCACACACCGCCCAUCACGCCCGGAGAGGCGAGUAGGCCGGGAGACAAUUUAAAGAAAGGUCGGUAACUGUAAUUUUAGGUAAAACUAAACUCGGUUGCUGCUGUCGCCCACUGGCAAUGAAUUUCUCAUAUGUUUGAGAAGUCGGCUUGUAUCUGAGCACCUUUUUUAUUUAUUUUGGUGCCACUAGCUAAAUAUGUUUGAGCAGGUAUACGGGCCCGACCAACGGGGG
rnacentral:rRNA from 1 species